CGGGUGAGUAAUGCGUGACCAACCUCGCCCCAUGCUCCAGAAUAGCUCUUGGAAACGGGUGGUAAUGCUGGAUGCUCCACUGACGCAUGUCUUGUUGGGAAAGUGUUUAGUGGCAUGGGAUGGGGUCGCGUCCUAUCAGCUUGUAGGCGGGGUAAUGGCCCACCUAGGCUUCGACGGGUAGCCGGCCUGAGAGGGCGGACGGCCACAUUGGGACUGAGAUACGGCCCAGACUCCUACGGGAGGCAGCAGGU
rnacentral:rRNA from 1 species